AGUAAUAUGUCUGAUUAAAGUAAUAAAUUGUAAAUUUAUUUAAAGAAAUUAUAUUUCUUAUUACUA
rnacentral:tRNA from 1 species